rnacentral:rRNA from 1 species
UACGGAGGAUGCGAGCGUUAUCCGGAUUUAUUGGGUUUAAAGGGUGCGUAGGCGGGCUUUUAAGUCAGCGGUAAAAAUUCGGGGCUCAACCCCGUCCGGCCGUUGAAACUGGGGGCCUUGAGUGGGCGAGAAGAAGGCGGAAUGCGUGGUGUAGCGGUGAAAUGCAUAGAUAUCACGCAGAACCCCGAUUGCGAAGGCAGCCUUCCGGCGCCCUACUGACGCUGAGGCACGAAAGUGCGGGGAUCGAACAGG